AAAGGUGUAGCUCAGUGGUAGAGCACAGUGCUUAGCAUGCACAGGGUCUUGGAUUCAAUCCCCAGAACCUUCC
rnacentral:tRNA from 1 species